rnacentral:rRNA from 1 species
CUACAACUAAGGUCCCUAAGUACAAGUUAAGUGGUAAAGGAUGUGCCAAUGCUAAAACAACCAGGAUGUUGGCUUAGAAGCAGCCACUCAUUUAAAGAGUGCGUAAUAGCUCACUGGUCGAGUGAGGGUGCGCCGAAGAUUACCGGGGCUAAAACUUGUCACCGAAGUUUAGGGAUGCAGUUUACUGCAUCGGUAGAGGAGCAAUGUAUGCGGGCAGAAGCGAUAUCGUAAGGGGUCGUGGACUGCAUACAAGAGAGAAUGCCGGCAUAAGUAGCGCGAGCAAAGUGAGAAUCUUUGCCGUCGAAUGCCUAAGGUUUCCUGGGGAAGGUUCGUCCUCCCAGGGUAAGUCGGGACCUAAGCCGAGGCCGAAAGGCGUAGGUGAUGGACAACAGGUAGAUAUUCCUGUACCGCCAAAUGACGCUUAAAUGAGGCAAUGACACAGUAGGAUAGUCAAUCCGCGGCGUUGGAUUGCUGCGGCCAAAUCAUGAGGCUGAUGUGUAGUGAAGUACGCACAUCGUCAGGCUAGGUGAUGAUGGGGAGUGAAAACUAGUAACGAAGUUGAUGAAUUCACACUGGCGAGAAAAGUUGCUAAAUAUGUUGUUAGGCGCCCGUACCGCAAACCGACACAGGUGGGCGAGGAGAAAAUCCUAAGACGGACGGGAGAACCCUUGUUAAGGAACUCUGCAAAAUUACCCCGUAACUUCGGGAGAAGGGGAGCCUGCUUUGCAGGCCGCAGUGAAGAGGCCCAAGCGACUGUUUACCAAAAACACAGGUCUCUGCAAAAUCGAAAGAUGAUGUAUAGGGGCUGACGCCUGCCCAGUGCUGGAAGGUUAAGGGGAUGUGUUAGCGCAAGCGAAGCACGGAACUUAAGCCCCAGUGAACGGCGGCCGUAACUAUAACGGUCCUAAGGUAGCGAAAUUCCUUGUCGGGUAAGUUCCGACCCGCACGAAUGGCGUAACGACUUGGGCGCUGUCUCAACAGGGGACCCGGCGAAAUUGUACUAUACGUGAAGAUGCGUAUUACCCGCGACUGGACGGAGAGACCCCGUAGAGCUUUACUGUAGCUUGAUAUUGGAAUUCGGUAAUUUAUGUACAGGAUAGGUGGGAGACUUGGAAACAUGGGCGUCAGCUCAUGCGGAGUCAACCUUGGGAUACCACCCUUGAAUUAUUGGGUUUCUAACACCAGACCGUAAUCCGGCUGGUGGACAGUGUCAGGUGGGCAGUUUGACUGGGGCGGUCGCCUCCCAAAAUGUAACGGAGGCGUUCUAAGGUUCCCUCAGGAUGGUUGGAAAUCAUCCAAAGAGCGUAAAGGUAGAAGGGAGCUUAACUGCGAGACAGACAUGUCGAGCAGAUACGAAAGUAGGACUUAGUGACCCGGCGGUUGAGUAUGGAAUUGCCGUCGAUUAACGGAUAAAAGUUACCUCGGGGAUAACAGGCUUAUCUCCCCCAAGAGUUCACAUCGACGGGGAGGUUUGGCACCUCGAUGUCGGCUCAUCGCAUCCUGGGGCUGUAUUCGGUCCCAAGGGUUUGGCUGUUCGCCAAUUAAAGCGGCACGCGAGCUGGGUUCAGAACGUCGUGAGACAGUUCGGUCCCUAUCCAUCGUGGGCGUAGGAUAUUUGAGAGGCUCUGCCCCUAGUACGAGAGGACCGGGGUGGACGUACCUAUGGUGCAUCUGUUGUCACGCCAGUGGCACAGCAGGGUAGCGAUGUACGGAUUGGAUAAACGCUGAAAGCAUCUAAGCGUGAAACCAGCCUCAAGAUAAGAUAUCCCUAAAGAGAAAUCUGAGUAAGGCCCCUUGUAGACCACAAGGUUGAUAGGUCGGGUGUGUAAGCACAGUAAUGUGUUGAGCUGACCGAUACUAAUAGGCCGAGGGCUUCAAUC